GUAAUGCCGGAUGCUCCGACUCCUCGCAUGGGGUGUCGGGAAAGAUUUCAUCGGUAUGGGAUGGGGUCGCGUCCUAUCAGGUAGUCGGCGGGGUAACGGCCCACCGAGCCUACGACGGGUAGCCGGCCUGAGAGGGCGACCGGCCACAUUGGGACUGAGAUACGGCCCAGACUCCUACGGGAGGCAGCAGUGGGGAAUAUUGCACAAUGGGCGCAAGCCUGAUGCAGCGACGCCGCGUGCGGGAUGACGGCCUUCGGGUUGUAAACCGCUUUUGAUCGGGAGCAAGCCUUCGGGUGAGUGUACCUUUCGAAUAAGCACCGGCUAACUACGUGCCAGCAGCCGCGGUAAUACGUAGGGUGCAAGCGUUAUCCGGAAUUAUUGGGCGUAAAGGGCUCGUAGGCGGUUCGUCGCGUCCGGUGUGAAAGUCCAUCGCUUAACGGUGGAUCUGCGCCGGGUACGGGCGGGCUGGAGUGCGGUAGGGGAGA
rnacentral:rRNA from 1 species